GAACGCUCGGGGAGAAUGAAACGCGUUUGUACCAGCUCAUCUCCCAUCUGCAAUAGGGAAAAGGGGCUCGGCGACCAGUUCUACAAAGAGGCGAUCGAACACUGUCGGAGCUACAACUCGCGGUUGUGUGCCGAGCGCAGUGUCCGGCUGCCCUUCCUGGACUCGCAGACCGGGGUGGCCCAAAACAACUGCUACAUCUGGAUGGAGAAGCGGCACCGGGGCCCAGGCCUUGCUCCGGGCCAGCUGUACACAUACCCCGCGCGCUGCUGGCGAAAGAAGAGAAGAUUGCACCCUCCUGAGGAUCCGAAGCUGCGGCUGCUGGAAAUAAAACCUGAGGUGGAGCUGCCCCUGAAGAAGGACGGGUUCACCUCAGAGAGCACCACGCUAGAAGCCUUGCUCCGAGGCGAGGGGGUUGAGAAGAAGGUGGACACCAGAGAGGAGGAGAGCAUCCAGGAGAUACAGAGAGUCUUGGAAAAUGAUGAAAAUGUAGAAGAAGGAAAUGAAGAAGAGGAUUUAGAAGAGGAUAUUCCCAAGCGAAAGAACAGGACCAGAGGACGGGCCCGUGGCUCUGCUGGUGGCAGGAGGAGGCAUGACCCCGCCUCUCAGGAAGACCACGACAAACCUUACGUCUGUGACAUCUGUGGCAAGCGCUACAAGAACCGACCAGGACUCAGCUACCACUACGCUCACACUCACCUGGCCAGCGAGGAGGGGGAUGAAGCUCAAGACCAGGAGACCCGGUCCCCACCGAACCACAGAAAUGAGAACCACAGACCCCAGAAAGGACCGGAUGGGACAGUCAUUCCUAAUAACUACUGUGACUUCUGCUUGGGAGGCUCCAACCUGAACAAGAAGAGUGGGCGGCCUGAAGAGCUGGUGUCCUGUGCAGACUGCGGACGCUCUGCUCAUUUGGGAAGAGAAGGCAGGAAGGAGAAGGAGGCAGCGGCCGCAGCACGCACCACGGAGGACUUAUUCGGUUCCACAUCUGAAAGUGACACCUCAACUUUCCACGGCUUUGAUGAGGACGAUUUGGAAGAGCCUCACUCCUGCCGAGGACGCCGCAGUGGCCGGGGCUCGCCCACAGCAGACAAAAAGGGCAGUUGCUAAACCCAUGAAUGGACUCUCUGGGCAAUUAGCCAUCACCCUCUGACUUGGUCAUUGUUCUGGUUCUGACACAUUUUUAAAAAAAAUGAAAGACAACCUUAGAUUUUCCCUUCAUCCUUGCUUUUUCCUCUUGCCUUCCACCCAUCCCUUCCCCCUUGCCCUCGAUUUUGAGUAUGUACAGCAGAAGCACAAACUACUGAAACAAAACAGAACAAAAGAGCAAACUAGUCCUUCAGAGAGAUGGCCUCGUGAUGUGCUGUUUAUUUUCCAGAGCAAUGAGAAGUUAGGCGAACUGUCUCUCGGGGGAGGGGAUCUUUUUGAUAUGAGCAGAGUUGAUUUCCUCAGUGUUCCUAUUUAUUGGCAAAAUGAGGAGAGGAGGAAUAUUGGGUUUGGAAACAAAGAACCAAUUACAUUAAAUAAAUUAUUAUUUAUAUAUUCUAACUAUUAUUAGAAACUGACUUUUUUUUUUUGAGAGAGAGAGAGAGAAUGAAGGAAAAUCAAAGAAAUUGAAGUAAUACCCUGUUUAGAAGGAAGCCACUGGGGGAGGAUUGAUUCAAGGAGACCCGGGCAGGAGGAGUUCCUCGGUGGGAGAUGAUUGCACUUUGUACCCCACGGAGUGUCUGGCUCCCUCGGCAGACCCCCUCCCCAUUUCUCAUCCCUGACCUUUCCGCCUUCCUCCCUGCUUGCGAGAAAAUGUCAGCAGUUGCUGAGAAGUGCGGGCUGCUGUGUGCCUCCCUCCAGCACCUGGGUCCCCCCCAGCAGCGUCUGCUGGGCUCCUCUUCUCCAUCAGCGGAGCCACUGUUCGGUGGUUGCUGGUUUUCCCCUCACUUUCCUCCUGGUGAAGAGCGAUUUCCAAAUGCAGGAAUGGAACGUAAGCAGAAAGUCAUGGACUCAGCAACCCGAGCUGCGCUCGUGGAAGAAAGAACGCUACCUGAAGUACAUUUCCCUGCCCCCGCACCCCUCUUUACAAACUUAGAAAUUCCCGUUGGAUGAUCAAGUCCUCCCGUAUCCUAUUUUUUUAUAGUGCCCUCCAGGCACUUUGUUUUAUGUUUCCAAUAGCAUCUCCUGCAAUAAACCAAAGCCACACUUGCUCAAGGCCCCUGGGGCGAUGGAGAAGACCACCCACCUUGUUGGCAGUCCCAAGAGUGAACAGCUGUGCGGGCCUAGUCAAAAGUCAACUCUAUGACCUGUGGACCCCGGCGUCCUUCAAGCAAGCCAUUUCCGAAGAAGGUGAAAGAAGGCACGAUGAUUGCACCUCCUCCUCCUCCUCUUCCUCCUCCUCCUUCUCUUCCUCUUCCCUUGCCCGGCCCCCUCCUGCGCGUGUGUUUCAGCCAACACAGGAGCCUGAAUUUUUGUGGAAAAGCCUCCAGCUCAGCUCAGAGAAGUCUCGGGAAUGGCCUCCGUUUUUGCAAUAAGAAGAUUUUUUUUUUUUCUUUUUAAAAUUCUCCAUUACAUUUUCUUUAAAUGUCUGUGAGGAAGUACCCAGGUCAGACCGGAACUGCUCUACAAUAGAAAUAACUGAAAACAAACUGAUGAGGAAAAAAAAAAAGUUCACUAUUUUAUUUAUUUCAAUAUUUAAAAGAAAAAUGUGCUGAUGUGGCACAUUAUUUUUAUUUAAAAUACCUUCUACUUCGAAAGUGAAACGCGAUUUUGUGAAGAUAUGAAGUCAAAAGAGUACGUAAUGUAAAAUAAAGACUGCAUAUUAACUAAGGAAAACACCCACAUUUUAAAUAAGAAAAUAAAGAUCAACUCUGCUCUCUCAGGCUCUUUAAAAAGCCAUUCAUGUAUGUGCUUUAGGUAUUUUUAUUUCUGCCAGUUGGAUGUGGUAAGUGAGGAGUGAUCAGGUUUUUUUUUUCCUUCUUCAAAAGUCUAUCGAAAGUGUUGGUGAUGUUCAAUGAGUGUUACGUCUUGACUGAAAUAAAUUAGCCACAAAGGCUAUCAGCAGUCUCUCUGCGCCCCCUCCCCCCAAAAAACCUCUCCCCUAACCCAGGCAAGCCCCAUUUAUCUGAAUGUCAAGAAGCAGCCUGCCUCCUGGUUAUCAUGUCUGACAAGGCCUGGUUCUGAAAGGAAUUCCACCUAGUGAUUAAAUAUAUCUCUGUGAGUUCAACAGAUUCAAACACAGACAGCUUUGUUUAAAAUAAUGCAGUGAAGGAAGAGGGAAAAAGAAGACAAACUGAGCAUCAGCCGAGAUGGUACUAAUUUGGUCUCCUAACAACUAGAGGAAGCUUGCAAAGGGAACCCUCUGCUGAACCGGCUUCAGGGACCGAGAUGCUGGGGUCCCGAGGGCAAGAAAGGCCAACCUGAGUGAGGGAACCUCAGAGUCAGUUGCUGGUGGGGGUAAAGGAGAAAGGCGAGUGUUCUGACAUGUCCUUUUAUGGCCACGUGAGGGGAAGGGAAUGUUAUGGCCUCUGAAAUGUAACUCAGCAUCGCGCCCUUGGCCUAAUGAAGGAGCCGGUUGACCGGCUGGGGCGCUGGGUUUUACUCCAGGCCUUUUACACGGCCAUGCUCUUGGGUUUCACUCACUUCUCAGCAGAGUCUUAUUAAAUGUACAGUCUCGUGCCGGAUAGUCUUGUCAGCAAAAGUCCUCGAGUGACGGUGCUACUGAAACGGUUUUAAGCCGGAGAAUGUCUCUUUUGCCUUUGAAAGGGGAGACUGGAUGGGCACCACAGUCCCGCCAGCCCUUUCAGAUUUCUCAUUCAGGACCAGUCCUCAGGGGGAGAUCACCAAGAGUGUCUUUGUAUCAUUUGUAGCCCUUUGCUGUGACAUUUUCUGAUAGAAAAUGUCCCCUUUAAAAAUGCUAAUAAUUAUAAUAAUAAUUCACUCUCCAACCAACUCCCACAAGUUAUAACAUGUGUAGAAUUGUGAUAAAGCUUUGCAUAAUGUAGGGUUUGUAUCAAGUGUGUGUAAGUUUCUGUUAAAUAAAAGUCUAUUUCCAAUGCUC